rnacentral:rRNA from 1 species
AGAGUUUGAUCUGGCUCAGGACGAACGCUGGCGGCGUGCCUAAUACAUGCAAGUCGAGCGAGCUUGCCUAGAUGAUUUUAGUGCUUGCACUAAAUGAAACUAGAUACAAGCGAGCGGCGGACGGGUGAGUAACACGUGGGUAACCUGCCCAAGAGACUGGGAUAACACCUGGAAACAGAUGCUAAUACCGGAUAACAACACUAGACGCAUGUCUAGAGUUUGAAAGAUGGUUCUGCUAUCACUCUUGGAUGGACCUGCGGUGCAUUAGCUAGUUGGUAAGGUAACGGCUUACCAAGGCAAUGAUGCAUAGCCGAGUUGAGAGACUGAUCGGCCACAUUGGGACUGAGACACGGCCCAAACUCCUACGGGAGGCAGCAGUAGGGAAUCUUCCACAAUGGACGAAAGUCUGAUGGAGCAACGCCGCGUGAGUGAAGAAGGGUUUCGGCUCGUAAAGCUCUGUUGGUAGUGAAGAAAGAUAGAGGUAGUAACUGGCCUUUAUUUGACGGUAAUUACUUAGAAAGUCACGGCUAACUACGUGCCAGCAGCCGCGGUAAUACGUAGGUGGCAAGCGUUGUCCGGAUUUAUUGGGCGUAAAGCGAGUGCAGGCGGUUCAAUAAGUCUGAUGUGAAAGCCUUCGGCUCAACCGGAGAAUUGCAUCAGAAACUGUUGAACUUGAGUGCAGAAGAGGAGAGUGGAACUCCAUGUGUAGCGGUGGAAUGCGUAGAUAUAUGGAAGAACACCAGUGGCGAAGGCGGCUCUCUGGUCUGCAACUGACGCUGAGGCUCGAAAGCAUGGGUAGCGAACAGGAUUAGAUACCCUGGUAGUCCAUGCCGUAAACGAUGAGUGCUAAGUGUUGGGAGGUUUCCGCCUCUCAGUGCUGCAGCUAACGCAUUAAGCACUCCGCCUGGGGAGUACGACCGCAAGGUUGAAACUCAAAGGAAUUGACGGGGGCCCGCACAAGCGGUGGAGCAUGUGGUUUAAUUCGAUGAUACGCGAGGAACCUUACCCGGGCUUAAAUUGCACCUGAAUAAUGUGGAAACAUGUUAGCCGUAAGGCAGGUGUGAAGGUGCUGCAUGGUUGUCGUCAGCUCGUGCCGUGAGGUGUCGGCUUAAGUGCCAUAACGAGCGCAACCCUUAUCUUCAGUUACUAACAGGUCAUGCUGAGGACUCUGGAGAGACUGCCGUCGUAAGAUGUGAGGAAGGUGGGGAUGACGUCAAAUCAGCACGGCCCUUACGUCCGGGGCUACACACGUGUUACAAUGGGAGGUACAGAAGGCCGCUACCUGGCGACAGGAUGCCAAUCCCCAAAACCUCUCUCAGUUCGGAUCGAAGUCUGCAACCCGACUUCGUGAAGCUGGGUUCGCUAGUAAUCGCGCAUCAGCCAUGGCGCGGUGAAUACGUUCCCGGGCCUUGCACACACCGCCCGUCA